rnacentral:rRNA from 5 species
ACCCGGAGAACUGAAACAUCUUAGUACCCGGAGGAAGAGAAAGAAAAUUCGAUUCCCUUAGUAGCGGCGAGCGAAACGGGAAGAGCCCAAACCAAAAAGCUUGCUUGUUGGGGUUGUAGGACACUCUAUACGGAGUUACAAAGGACGACAUUAGACGAAUCAUCUGGAAAGAUGAAUCAAAGAAGGUAAUAAUCCUGUAGUCGAAAAUGUUGUCUCUCUUGAGUGGAUCCUGAGUACGACGGAGCACGUGAAAUUCCGUCGGAAUCUGGGAGGACCAUCUCCUAAGGCUAAAUACUCUCUAGUGACCGAUAGUGAACCAGUACCGUGAGGGAAAGGUGAAAAGCACCCCGGAAGGAGAGUGAAAUAGAACCUGAAACCGUGUGCUUACAAGUAGUCAGAGCCCGUUAAUGGGUGAUGGCGUGCCUUUUGUAGAAUGAACCGGCGAGUUACGAUUUGAUGCAAGGUUAAGCAGUAAAUGUGGAGCCGUAGCGAAAGCGAGUCUGAAUAGGGCGUUUAGUAUUUGGUCGUAGACCCGAAACCAGGUGAUCUACCCUUGGUCAGGUUGAAGUUCAGGUAACACUGAAUGGAGGACCGAACCGACUUACGUUGAAAAGUGAGCGGAUGAACUGAGGGUAGCGGAGAAAUUCCAAUCGAACCUGGAGAUAGCUGGUUCUCUCCGAAAUAGCUUUAGGGCUAGCCUCAAGUGAUGAUUAUUGGAGGUAGAGCACUGUUUGGACGAGGGGCCCCUCUCGGGUUACCGAAUUCAGACAAACUCCGAAUGCCAAUUAAUUUAACUUGGGAGUCAGAACAUGGGUGAUAAGGUCCGUGUUCGAAAGGGAAACAGCCCAGACCACCAGCUAAGGUCCCAAAAUAUAUGUUAAGUGGAAAAGGAUGUGGCGUUGCCCAGACAACUAGGAUGUUGGCUUAGAAGCAGCCAUCAUUUAAAGAGUGCGUAAUAGCUCACUAGUCGAGUGACACUGCGCCGAAAAUGUACCGGGGCUAAACAUAUUACCGAAGCUGUGGAUUGUCCUUUGGACAAUGGUAGGAGAGCGUUCUAAGGGCGUUGAAGCAUGAUCGUAAGGACAUGUGGAGCGCUUAGAAGUGAGAAUGCCGGUGUGAGUAGCGAAAGACGGGUGAGAAUCCCGUCCACCGAUUGACUAAGGUUUCCAGAGGAAGGCUCGUCCGCUCUGGGUUAGUCGGGUCCUAAGCUGAGGCCGACAGGCGUAGGCGAUGGAUAACAGGUUGAUAUUCCUGUACCACCUAUAAUCGUUUUAAUCGAUGGGGGGACGCAGUAGGAUAGGCGAAGCGUGCGAUUGGAUUGCACGUCUAAGCAGUAAGGCUGAGUAUUAGGCAAAUCCGGUACUCGUUAAGGCUGAGCUGUGAUGGGGAGAAGACAUUGUGUCUUCGAGUCGUUGAUUUCACACUGCCGAGAAAAGCCUCUAGAUAGAAAAUAGGUGCCCGUACCGCAAACCGACACAGGUAGUCAAGAUGAGAAUUCUAAGGUGAGCGAGCGAACUCUCGUUAAGGAACUCGGCAAAAUGACCCCGUAACUUCGGGAGAAGGGGUGCUCUUUAGGGUUAACGCCCAGAAGAGCCGCAGUGAAUAGGCCCAAGCGACUGUUUAUCAAAAACACAGGUCUCUGCUAAACCGUAAGGUGAUGUAUAGGGGCUGACGCCUGCCCGGUGCUGGAAGGUUAAGAGGAGUGGUUAGCUUCUGCGAAGCUACGAAUCGAAGCCCCAGUAAACGGCGGCCGUAACUAUAACGGUCCUAAGGUAGCGAAAUUCCUUGUCGGGUAAGUUCCGACCCGCACGAAAGGCGUAACGAUUUGGGCACUGUCUCAACGAGAGACUCGGUGAAAUCAUAGUACCUGUGAAGAUGCAGGUUACCCGCGACAGGACGGAAAGACCCCGUGGAGCUUUACUGUAGCCUGAUAUUGAAAUUCGGCACAGCUUGUACAGGAUAGGUAGGAGCCUUUGAAACGUGAGCGCUAGCUUACGUGGAGGCGCUGGUGGGAUACUACCCUAGCUGUGUUGGCUUUCUAACCCGCACCACUUAUCGUGGUGGGAGACAGUGUCAAGCGGGCAGUUUGACUGGGGCGGUCGCCUCCUAAAAGGUAACGGAGGCGCUCAAAGGUUCCCUCAGAAUGGUUGGAAAUCAUUCAUAGAGUGUAAAGGCAUAAGGGAGCUUGACUGCGAGACCUACAAGUCGAGCAGGGUCGAAAGACGGACUUAGUGAUCCGGUGGUUCCGCAUGGAAGGGCCAUCGCUCAACGGAUAAAAGCUACCCCGGGGAUAACAGGCUUAUCUCCCCCAAGAGUUCACAUCGACGGGGAGGUUUGGCACCUCGAUGUCGGCUCAUCGCAUCCUGGGGCUGUAGUCGGUCCCAAGGGUUGGGCUGUUCGCCCAUUAAAGCGGUACGCGAGCUGGGUUCAGAACGUCGUGAGACAGUUCGGUCCCUAUCCGUCGUGGGCGUAGGAAAUUUGAGAGGAGCUGUCCUUAGUACGAGAGGACCGGGAUGGACAUACCUCUGGUGUACCAGUUGUCGUGCCAACGGCAUAGCUGGGUAGCUAUGUGUGGACGGGAUAAGUGCUGAAAGCAUCUAAGCAUGAAGCCCCCCUCAAGAUGAGAUUUCCCAACUUCGGUUAUAAGAUCCCUCAAAGAUGAUGAGGUUAAUAGGUUCGAGGUGGAAGCAUGGUGACAUGUGGAGCUGACGAAUACUAAUCGAUCGAAGACUUAAUCAA